rnacentral:rRNA from 1 species
UGGGGAAUAUUGGACAAUGGGCGCAAGCCUGAUCCAGCCAUGCCGCGUGAGUGAUGAAGGCCCUAGGGUUGUAAAGCUCUUUUGUGCGGGAAGAUAAUGACGGUACCGCAAGAAUAAGCCCCGGCUAACUUCGUGCCAGCAGCCGCGGUAAGACGUAGGAUGCAAGCGUUGUCCGGAUUCAUUGGGCGUAAAGAGUUCGUAGGUGGUCUGUUAAGUUUGGUGUUAAAGAGCGGGGCCCAACCCCGAUAGUGCACUGAAUACUGGCAUACUUGAGUGCGGUAGAGGUAAGUGGAAUUCCAAGUGUAGCGGUGAAAUGCAUAGAUAUUUGGAAGAACACCGGUGGCGUAAGCGACUUACUGGGCCGUAACUGACACUGAGGAACGAAAGCCGGGGUAGCGAAUG